rnacentral:rRNA from 1 species
UACGAAGGGGGCUAGCGUUGUUCGGAAUUACUGGGCGUAAAGGGCGCGUAGGCGGCUGUCCAAGUCAGAUGUGAAAGCCCCGGGCUUAACCUGGGAACUGCAUUUGAGACUGGGCGGCUUGAGUUUCGGAGAGGUGGGUGGAAUUCCCAGUGUAGAGGUGAAAUUCGUAGAUAUUGGGAAGAACACCGGUGGCGAAGGCGGCCCACUGGACGAACACUGACGCUGAGGCGCGAAAGCGUGGGGAGCAAACAGG